rnacentral:rRNA from 1 species
GAUGAACGCUGGCGGCGUGCUUAACACAUGCAAGUCGAACGGGAAGGCUCCUGCUUGCAGGGGUACUCGAGUGGCGAACGGGUGAGUAACACGUGGGUGAUCUGCCCUGCACUUCGGGAUAAGCCUGGGAAACUGGGUCUAAUACCGGAUAGGACGAUGGUUUGGAUGCCAUUGUGGAAAGUUUUUCGGUGUGGGAUGAGCUCGCGGCCUAUCAGCUUGUUGGUGGGGUAAUGGCCUACCAAGGCGUCGACGGGUAGCCGGCCUGAGAGGGUGUACGGCCACAUUGGGACUGAGAUACGGCCCAGACUCCUACGGGAGGCAGCAGUGGGGAAUAUUGCACAAUGGGCGCAAGCCUGAUGCAGCGACGCCGCGUGGGGGAUGACGGCCUUCGGGUUGUAAACUCCUUUCGCUAGGGACGAAGCGCAAGUGACGGUACCUGGAGAAGAAGCACCGGCUAACUACGUG